UCUGAAAUUAUGUCGUGUGCUUAGUGAAAAUAAAGGCCAUGAAAAUAAGACUUUCACAGAUAUUCAGCAGGCUUUCUAUGAGCUCUCAAGUCAUGUCAUUCAAGGAAAUCUAAAGCAUGACCAAGCAUCUAAUGUUCUCAGCGACAUUGUUGUUGGCUGAACAUUAACACCUUCACCAUUAGCGCAUUCCUGUUACUGUUAGUGUUCUAGCAUAUUGAUAGAAGAGGGAGUAUUGUAUGUGAGACUACCAUUUGGCUGAAUGGGAAGAGCAAUUUUGGUUGAGGGUAGGUGGUAAAAGAAUUUAAAGGCCAAACAAAGGAGUUUGUUUAUGAUCCUGAAGACAGUAGAACAUCGUUGUUUAUUGAUUAAGGAAUUGACAUCUUGGUGAAGGUGGAAAUAAGGAACAUUACACUGGUAGCUAUGUGUAGGAUGAACUGAAGUGGAAAGAAACUUCUGGAAGUUUUCUUUCAUCUUCUGGGGUUGCAGUAUAUUCUUACUGUGGUUCCUUGGUACUUGAACACUUUCUUUUAGGCUGCUUCAAGUAUUUUUUCACUCUCAUAGCUCUCUGGAUUUUGGCUAUGAUGUUUUUGGGCAUUUUCAAUUUGUUUGUUUCCCAACCCGCAUA